rnacentral:rRNA from 1 species
AUACGGAGGAUCCAAGCGUUAUCCGGAAUCAUUGGGUUUAAAGGGUCCGUAGGUGGAUGAUUAAGUCAGAGGUGAAAUCCUGCAGCUCAACUGUAGAAUUGCCUUUGAUACUGGUCAUCUUGAGUUAUUGUGAAGUAGUUGGAACAUGUAGUGUAGCGGUGAAAUGCAUAGAUAUUACAUAGAACACCGAUUGCGAAGGCAGAUUACUAACAAUAUACUGACACUGAGGGACGAAAGCGUGGGGAGCGAACAGGAUUAGAAACCCCAGUAGUCC